UCAAUGUCACAUCCAGCAGAUGUCGCUUUGGAGGGAUGGACUUGUCCCAGCUGGACUCUGGGACUCAUUCAGAAGCACUCAGAACAACCACCUGCUUCUUCUGAUGUGAGAAGCCCCAGGAAAUGAUAAUUUCUCCAAAUCAACUUAUUCAGCCCAAGUACACGGGGCCGAGUUUCCAGCAGGAGGAAAUAAAAUCAUUGCUCGGGGGAGUGGAGCAGCUGCUGUCAAGCCAAGAAGUCAUGGAGACCACAUCCAGUUUUGAAACCCCUGGGGAAAUGGGACUCUCUGAGCACGUCCAGAAUGCUGGGGGACUCGAACUCAGUGACCUGGUCCUGUGAAAGGACAUUUACAGAUGGAGAAACCAGGAGGCUCCGGAGCGGACCUGCCCUCUCCUGGUCUGGGAGAGGCUGCAUGUGGAGCUCCCCCGCCCCAACCCAGGUGUGGGUCUCAGAGGAAGGUGCACCAAAAGGGGGCUGCCUGGAGAGGGAGACAGCUCUGGACUCGGCACUGGGCAUUCCAGGCUCUACUCUUACUUCUGAGCCCCGAGUGACCUCCCGGGACUCUGUUUCCCCAUCGGACAACUGUGGAAUUGGACCAGAUGGUCUCUAAGAUAAAGUCUGAGGGGCCGUGUACGUCACUCAAACAGACGGAGCAGCUGACAGAGUCAAGACCCCUUCUCCCAGGGUAACCAUUGCUCCUUCAAAGAGAGACCACCAAGCAGAGUGACUUGAAGGCUCUCCGCUGGAGGACCCAACUCCGUGCUGCUGAGAGCUUUUCAAAUGGAUGCUGCCGGAGGCCCUGUUGGAGCAGAAGGCAGCUCCCACUCACACCUGUCGGGAAACCCCCGGCUAUUUUGGCUGAGACACCUCCAUCCCGGAUGUCUCCUGGGAGUGGCUUGUGACCCUGCUUUGACUAACCUGUGUUGUGUGCUAAUUGUGUGCGAUGAAUGAAGGCUUCGUGAAUUGCAUAUUGGCUCCCGUUUUGUGUAUCUCCAGUCCCAUGAUUCCCACCUGCCCUUACUGCUGGGCCCUGUGACAAACCCCUGUGGAUCAGUGACUCCUGAAGACGUGUCCUGCUCAUCAAAAAUGGCACAAGCGCAAGAGGCUGAGCAGAAACACGGGACCCUCCUUAAGGACUUGGCUCAGAAUGGCCACCUGUCACAUCCACUGACAUUCUCUUGGCCCAAACAAGUCACAUGGCCAGUUCUGCUUCAGUAGGGUAGAAAAAUUCACUCUGCUUCAAGGGAGAGGGCCCUGAAUAUUUGCUGAAAAGAAUCCAAAUGGCUACAGAGACGUUGGGCAAGUGACUCCUCAUCCCUAGACCGGGCAGUCUCUCAUGUCUGAUUAUGGGGUUGGGGUAUUUCCAUGGGCUUUCCCAUCCCCAACUUUCUAUGAAAGGAAAAUCAAAAUGGAGUCAGUACUGCUAAGAGAGCUCUCUUAAUGGAGCCGGGAGGCCACCGAGGGAGUGAGACUUUACGGCCCAGUUCAGAUGGAAUCCAACCUUUUGACCACUUACUGUCUUAUCGUCGGCAUCCGGCACAUCUGCCCAAAGUUCCGGAAACUCAAGAUACUUAUCGGACCCUUACCCUAAAAUAACUCAUGACAGCCUAUCCUUGAAGGACAGAUAGUUCCUUUCCUGUUUCAAGGUCAAUCAUAAUUCUUGCCAGACAACUUAACCUUGUGGCUUUGCCUUUAUAAACCCCUGACUCCUUCUCUUCCCUGGAAACAGUCUUUUGGUUUUACCUGAAUCUGUGUCUCCCGAAUUGCAGUUCCUAAGACCCCUAAAUAAACUUUUUCAUAUUUGA